ACUAUAGCAUCAGGGUUCCACCUCUUCCCAUUCCGAACAGAGAAGUUAAGCCUGAUCACGCCGAUGGUACUGCGUAACAGUGGGAGAGUAGGUAGUCGCCGUUU
rnacentral:rRNA from 1 species